UUUUUUUCUUUUUCUUUUUCUUUCUGUCAUUAGACUAUGACAUUAAUGAAUUGUAUCGAAAUACAAUCGGAAGUAUCGGAAGGGCUUCUUUCAUAUAUGAAAAUCUUUCAUCUAACCAAGGGCAUUGUUAAAAUGUCCCGCAAUAAAUUAGAUAAAAAUCUUCAUGUCUGAAAAAAACAUUCGAAAGAAAAACAAAAUUCACGGAACUAAGAAGAAAUGAGAACUUUCAUUUAAAAAAGUCUACGGACUAACCAAGGUCAUGCAGAGAUGGCCCCGAAAAUUUAGUCAAUAAACAUUUAAUGGCCGAAAAGAAAACCCAGAUGAAAGACAAAAUCCGCGGAAAAGAAGAAAACAAAGAGGGGAGAAAAAAAAAAAAGGAAAGAAAGAAAGAACCAGGCACAAAAGAUUAUGCUUGGCACCGAAAUAAAAUCAUCAAAAUGACACAAUCGUUAAUUAACGACAAACAAAAUCAGAAUAUACGAUCAAAAAGCCAUCAACUAUGGCACUCCCUCGAAUGGAACACUACGAUUAAAACUAAAGAUACAACAAGUCUAAAACACAAUUUGUAAUAUAAAGUACUCCCUCCGUCUCUUUUUAGUUGUCACAUUUCUAUUUUUAUUGGUCAAAUUAAAUAAGUUUUGACUAAAAAUUAUGAGUCAGUCACUCAUUAUUUUAAAAAACUGAAAAUUACAUCUUAAAAUAGGUUAAAAGUUAUCCAUAUAACCAAUAACAAAGAACAUAUACGACAAAUACAUUUAAAAGCAUUAAGACAGAAGAUUUUGAACUCAUACCAUUGUCGUGGGGUCAAUUCACACGAUCCUUACCUUACUGAAUAUAAAUAUACGUACACACCAGAUACAGCUAAAACUGAAUCGCAGUCUCUUAAGUCGUCAUUAACUCAUCCCAAUUGAUUUAUCACCGAAUCACAAUCUUGAAAAUCGAGUAGAUCUAACAUCUAGGAACAGAUCCAGAUGAAGAGUAUUAUUAAAAAAAUAAGAACAAAUAAAAAGAGAUUAACUGAUUCAGAUUUUUUUGUAAGUGAAAAUCAAUGAAAUCUCUUACGGCGACUAGGAAAAGAAGGGAGAGUUACGGAGGGUGUUUAAUGUUGUGAAGGAUCAGGUUUUUGAACAAGAUAUUGUUUUGUUGAACUCGUUUCCAAUUAUAUUAGAAUAUUGAAUAAUUAAUAUAUAACAGAGCUAUUAUUAACAAAAUUUAUUCUCAUAUAAAUAUUAUUAGACCUUGGCACAACGUUCACUUAGAACUCAAGUAACCGCCUUCGUUGUUUGAGGGGUUUUCAUCGCCUUUCACCGGUGGAAAACCCCAAACUCUUUUAUUUAAUUGGUUUUCUUCAAUAAUAUUUCCUUUCGGGGAAGGAUUUUUAUCUGGUUUGGUUUGUUUAUCUAGUUCUAGAUCAUCAGAGCUUCCGAUCUACUUUUUCUUUGAUUCUUCGUUUGGAUUUGAAAGUUAAUCGCCUAUCGUGGUUUCGACUAUCAAAUCUAAAUGUUUUAUUUUCAUUUAUUUUCAGUUUGCUUUUAUUUCGAUAUUCGCCUUGUAUUUUCAUGUUGUUCUCUCCUGGGUGAGGGGUUUGUUUUCGCUUCUUCAUUAUAAGCGGUAGUCUUGAUUUGGUGAUGAAAUCCGUAUGAAAUCGUAAUUCUGGUCGAUAGCUCAAACGGGAAAGUCCUGGGUUUUAAGCCGAGCCAAACCUCCUGAGUAACAAAAAUAGUUUGCAAUUUUAGAUUUCAAAAAAGUUUAACAUGAUCGAUCAUUGCAAAGAGUAUAAUCCCCGAUCUCGAAGCUAUAUUACCCUAUGAAAUGAGAAUUAUGUCAUGGCAUCAUGUGUCCCAAAGCAACCGUACGAUUAUUUUAAAUUAAAAAAUGAUCGAAAGAAAAAUUAACUAUCCAACAAUACUUCUCUUCUCUGUCGUUUUGAGAGGCGACUCUCGUGACUAGGUUCCUGUCAUCAUUUUUCCGCCUUCUACAUCUUCAUCUCCCUUAUCCUUUAACUCCUUUGCUCUCUCAUCCCCUUUUUUAUUUCAUUAGUUUUUCAAUAAAAUUCAGAUCUAAUCUACUCUGGAUUAAAUCUUGGAUUAGAUUUUGUUGAGUAUUUUGUUAUAAAGAUUGUUAGUGGUGCCCAUCUUCUUGGGAUGUAAGUUGUGUACAUAAAAAUAUUGGAAUACAAAUCAUAGUUUUUUACUUUAAUCACAUAUAAUAUCUUAAAUUUUCAAAUUUAUAUAUAAUUUUAUUCAUUAGCAACUUUUAAACAUAAUUGUCAAUUAAUCAUUAACAUAUUUCAACUUUAACAAGCAUCAAAAUUAUUGUCCUGUUUAUGAGUUAUGCUACAAAUCAAAGUGUUAUAAUAGUGUCAUGUGAUUUAUAACAAUAAUUGUUCCUUUUGAUUACAAUAUUAUGUUGUUGAACAGAAUCUGCAGAUUGCCGGAUGUUUACAAUUGUUAUAAAAAAAACUAAAAUUAGAUAAUUAAAUCACAUUUUAUCUAAUUUUAAAUUCUGAUACCACAAUAUUUUUUAUGUACUCUAUAGAAUUUAAUCCAUAUGAUUAUGUGUUAUGAAUAUCAAUAAUUUAUAUAUGAAAGGGGUACAAAAUAGAGAAAAGAUCGAUUUGUGCGCAAGGAUCAAAAAUCAUUUUUACUAGGACCUUAUUUGCCUCGGCUUAAAACCCGGGCUUUAAGUCAUAUCUGACUUUAAGCACAAAAUGUAUGUUUGUAUGAUAAGUCAGAAAUCGGUUUAAAAUCAGAAAUAAGUCAGAAACUGACUUAAAGCUAGAAGUUAGUUUGAGAUACUUUUUUUAGUGACUAAUUUUUUUGAAUAUUUUUUGAUAAAAAUUUCUCUUGAGUCAUAAAUUACUCAUAAAUUACUCAUAAAUCACUUUUAUUUUUCUUAUUAUAUUUUUAAUAACUCAUAAGUCAUUAAUAAGUCAAAAUUAGCCAAACAGACAGUUUAAACUCUCAGCCUAUCCAAGUCACAUUAAGUCAUAAGUCAUGUUAAGUCAUAGAUCAUAAACUCACCCAUAUCAAAAACUCGUAUUUUUGUUAUUGUUAAUAUAUAGGCCAACAUAUCUUGAGACAAUAAAUUCUUUUUGUAUAGCCUAAAAAUAAUAGUAUAAAAUACAUUAACCCGUUUAUAAUAUUAUUGCACAGCUGAGUUAUACCAAAACAAAUAUGUUAUUUAAUUUUAUUUUUUAGAGCAACUCCACUUAUAUUAAAUUAUUAGUAAAAAAUGAGUUGGCAUAUCAAAAAUAAAAAAGAAAUAUAGAUAAUUUCCUCAAAAUCUCACACUCCAACCAUAUAGUGUCCAUAAAUUAGCCAAACUCAUGGCUAUAUAUAUAUAUAUAGAGUUUUACUCCAAUAGAAACCUCCUUAUCCUAGAAACUAAAAACCAAACUGAAAUAUCACUAAAUCCUAAAGCAAAUACCACUAAAUUUUUAAACAACCCCAUCUCCACCUCCAUCUUCAUCAAACCCACCUCCAUCUUUAUAUAUAUAUAUAUAUAUAUAUAUAUAUAUAUAUAUAUAUAUAUAUAUAUAUAUCAUUUAUAAUAUAUUAUAUAUAUAAGAUAAUAAGUAUUAUCACAUUAAAUAAAUCAUAUUUUACGAAGAUAUAAAUUUAAAUAAGAUAUUAAAGUUUUAUAAAAUGAUGACUAUUUACUUAUAAACUAGUUGAGAAGCCGCGCGUUGCGGCGGUUUAUAAAAAUUAUAUUAAUGAUUCAAUAUUAAUAUUUGUAGAGUACAAUAAUUUUGUGGCUGUCUUUAAAAAGUAUAUUAAUGAUUAAAAAUUAAUAUCUGCAGGAUAAAAUAAAUUUAUAUUAUAAAAAUCUUGAUGUAAUACCAAUACUAAUAUAUAAAAUUGCAAAAUUUGGACUUUAAUUCAUGGCGAAAAAAUGAAAAUAAAUUUCUACACGUAAUUAACAAUUUAAAGUAUGACGAAUGUUAAUUUUAUUUGUGUUUUUUUUAAAGUAAUCAUGUUCUUAUAUUGUCACAUUCCUCCAAUUUUUUUAGAUUGAGUGUGCACAAAAAAAUCUAACUUAAAUCCGUCAGAUGGCGGUCUAUUAUUACCCUUGCGUGUAACAACCUUUAUUUUUUAAUACUGUAUAAACAGCUCUAACUUAAAAGUUGCUUGAACGGAGCAAACAGAUAGUGCAUGAAUAAUAUUCACCUGUAUACAAAGUAAAUCAUGUAAAAAUUAAUAAAAACAAACAUGUCCGAUGAAUAAAACAAAUAUUAUAAAAAAAUAACCAACAAUCCCGUGUUUGGAUUUGUCGACUCCCACAUAGCGGUCUAUAACUACCUUUGCUUGCAAUAACCUUUAUUUUUUUUAAUACCGUAUAAACAGCCUUCACUUAUUGUUGCAGAAGAACGGCACCACCGAGUUAGAAAUCGAGCAAGACAACUAUCAACAGAGAGAGGUAGGAUUGUGGUAUCGAGAGAGAAUGUUGUGUUUAGAUGAUCCAAAACCCUACAACCUAUAAGGUAUUUAUAGGUGCAGAGAGACUUGUGUACUCCUUUUUUCCAUAAUUAAAUAAUCUGAAACAAAAUUAGAUUAAAACUUUCAAGCUGCUAUAUUCCAUAAAUAAUCUGAAACAAAAUCAGAUUCCGAAACUUGCUUCUAAUAUAUCUGAAACUAAAAAAGGUAGUUCUAAUUUUUGAUAUUUUUCAUCCGAAAAUUCCAAAAAAUUAAAAAAAAAAUAGAACGGAGUGAUAUGAGAGGCGCCACCUACACGUCUCUCGCUUCUCCUUUAUAUAAGUAUAUUGAUGUGAUGGAUUAAAAAUAUAAUAUGCAUAUGAUUUCGAAUCGAAUAUGAACCGUGGAUCAUAUUGGGGUAGAUUAUAUUAUGAAAAAUUAUAUGAGUCUGAAUCUGAGCAGGUAUAGGUGUGCUCAUAUCCGGGAUCACGAUCACAUAAUAUACGGGAUUAAUUUUCCGCCAGAUUUGGAUAAUUUUUAAAACGAAUAUGAGACAUGUAUCAUAUUUUCGACUUGGCUAUAAGCUCAGACACCGGAUACUCAGUACUCCCUCCGUCCCGACCAAUUCUUUACGUUUGGUUUGGGCACGAAGGUUAAGAAAUAUGUAUAAAGUAGUAGGAAAGAGAAAGAAAAGUGGGUGAAGUGGCGGGACCCAUUAAUUUUUAAUGUAUAAAAGAGAAUUAGUGGAGUAAAAGUAGUGUGAAAAGGAAGUAAAAGUAGUGUGAAAAGGGAGGAAAAGUUGGGAAGUGGUAGGACCCAUUUACUAUUUUUGGUAAGUUUUGAAAUGUAAAGAAUUGGAUGGGACAUCCCAAAGAGGAAACUGUAAAGAAUCUGCUGGGACAGAGGGAGAGCCGUAGUUGUAGUAGUAUGGUAGCUUAGAUAUCGAGGGCAUUUUGGUGAAUGAAAUUUGAGAUCAUAAACCCAACUUAGGGCUUUACAUCAAAGACCCUCUCUCUGUUUCCUACACCCUCAAAAACAAUCUUCAAACAUUGCAAUCUAUACAUCAGGUUAGCUAAUUUCUUUGUACAUUGUCUCUUUCACUGCUUAUUUUAGUCUUUAUUAGUUAACAAUUAUUAUUCAUACUAAUAUCUUUUCUCUCAAUUGCAGAAUCAUAAACCCUAGAAAUGCAAUCCCUUUUGGGGAAAAUUCGAUGCGUCACGAGACUUUCUACUGAUUCUUGUGCCAAAUUGUUGCCCCCUGUAAGCCCUAGCUUAUUUAUCAUCGCUAUUGGUACUAUUGAAUUUGUGUAAUUAGUCUUGUUACUGCGAUAAUAUAUUCUCGAACCUGAAUCAGACUCGUGUUAUGAAUUUUGCUUGCCAUUUAAUUAUGGACUUUUCGUAUAAUUAGGUUCAGAUGGGGGGGGGGGGGGGGGGGNGGGGGGGGGGGGGGGGGGGGGAUCUCUGCGGGGUUUAAUUGGGUCUGCAUUGGCAAUGAGAGUGAUGAUUACUGAUUUAGUUGCUCGUAACGUGGGUUUUAUUGUGCGUAUAGGACUAAGGACCUAGAGAAGCUUGUGCUGCACAAUGAUUGUUUUAUGUUUGGUAUAGGAUGUUGGGUUUUGAUAAUGCGUUCGUCCUUUAUUGGAAAGUGGAGAUGACAAGUGAGUGUUGGCACAUGAUUUAGAUGCUUUGUGAAUUCCACUUAUUAGGCCGCGGUCCUGAUACCGAACUAGUUGGAUACUUGGAUGCUUUGUGCAUUACACUUAUGGGCUAGCGUAAGCAAAAUGGGAAAGGGACGAUUGAUAGUUAUUGGUUUAGGCAAGCAGAGAGGUACUAUUACAUAUGUAUUUGUACGGUUUUGGUCUAUCUUUCUACGUAUUAGUUAUUUGACCCAUUGGUACCAGAAAAUUGUUUAGAGAAGCUGUGCUGCUGCGAUAUUGUAUUAACACCAAUAUGAUGUUCUUUUUAAAAUGAAACAUCUGUAAAGUAGUGGAAAGCAAGAUAGAGAUUUAUAUUAAGGUGUCUUGUGUGAUGUAGAUAUAUUAGAGAUUCACACGUGUCUUGUGUUUGUAUACAAUGUGUACAGACUGGAACACCAGAUAUACUCUAUGCAAAAGUCUGACUGAUUUUGCUGUUUUAACAGCUGUUACUAUUACAAGCUAAACAUAAGACUAACUAAUAACAUAGUUCAACUACCAACACCUGUCAGUAAGCUAAUUGUUUUUGGACCGGGAAACUACAAAGUUGAUACCUGAUCACUUGUGUUACAGUAGUCAUUUGUAUGUUUCUGAUUUACUGGUAAAAGGAAAUUGUUUUAGUUGUCAGCCUAGUUAAGCGGAAAGAGCAUCCUGGACAUAGAUUGAUUAAAUGAUUAUCAGUUAAUAUAUAUUUUACUCAGUCAUGUUCUCCUAUGAAUUUUCUUAUUCAAGUUGUUUAUAGUGGGCUGCAGUGACCCCAGCCAUUGGUAGGAGGUGCAUAACAAGCAGUUCAAGUGAUUCAGUUCCCCAACAUGCUUCUACUCCUGUCACUGAAAUUUCUCCACGCAUCAAAUUUAAAAGACUAGAUAAAACAGCCAGAAACAUCAUGCAGGCAUGAAAUUUUGUUGUACUUUUUUUUAGUUCAACAUAUGCCCUUUUCAAAAUUUAGAUGUUUACUUUCUGUAAUAUGGAAAGUGUCGCUUAUUUUUCCGUUGCAGAUUCUUGAUAAGGAAGCAGUAGAGGAAGUAAGAGCACAUAGGGAGAUACCUGAUAUAAAGCCUGGUUAUAUAAUCCAGCUUAAAGUGGUAUGAAUUUGGCAAGUAACUAAAUGAGGCUCUUGGGUUGUAUGAACAAAAUAAUUUUGGGAAUUCAUAUAACCAAUGUUAGCGUUCAUCAUAAUGUUUGCGACCUGUGGAAUAAUUUUUCUUACGGCACAUCCUGUCACAGGAAACACCUGAGAACAAGAGACGAAUUUCAACUUUGAAAGGCAUUGUUAUAGCUAGGCGAAAUGCUGGCUUAAAUACUACAAUCAGAUUAAGAAGGCUGAUCACAGGAAUUGGGGUUGAAUCUCUCUUCCCAUUGUAAGUAAAUAUGAAGAAACAUCUUCGUACAUGUAUUAUAUUUCAUUCUAGAUCAUUGUUAACUUGAGCUGGCAACUUUUGUAGUGGUAUAUAACAUAUAAAAGAUCCGUUUCAGACAUCUGAUGUAAUCAGUUCUGUUAUACUGAAUUGUUGAUUUAGUUAAUGAGUUUAUUUACAGGGUGUCCAGAUAUAUUAUUGCGCUCUCCCUUGAAUAUAUUAUCUUCAUAAAGAACAACCGACAGUAUAUAACAUGCUUAAAUUUAUAUAUGUCAUUCUAGAAGUUGAAUAUGUUAUUCUUUUUUUAAAAUCAUUGUGUAACUUUCAAAUGUGUCAUCAAGUGUCUUAGCUCAUAGGUGGAGUUUUCAUUUGUUGAUGUGCAAACCUUAUCCAUUUCGACCUAAAUGUUCUUAAUACCAAGUAUCCUAAUUCAGUGAUGAGAUGAUCAUUAUGAUACAUCUGUGUACCCACUCUUUUGAGUAUGACCUUCACCUAGAUAGUGCUGCACAUGUUAACCACGGUGUGUGGCUAAUGACAGGUAUUCACCUAAUAUAAAGGAGAUAAAGGUGUUGGACAAGAAGAAAGUGAGGAGGGCUAAGCUUUAUUACCUCAGGGAUCGAUUGAAUCCACUCAAGAACAAGUAGUAGGCUAAUAUUUGGAGUAAUGGUAGGGUUCAAUGUCAUCUUGUGAGACUCGCUCUCAGACACUGUUUUUUUUUCUUAUAUGAAAUCUAGUUACUCUUUUUGUAAUGUUAAAGGAUAUUAUUAUUACUUUAGAAAUAUCUCUCUAUUGUCACUGGAGUGGCUCACAGCCUGAUUGUGAUUUGUGACGGUCAUAUUUAUUUUUUGACACUAUUGAGGAUUCUUCCUUGUCCAACUAAUUGUGGCCCGCUUAAGUUUUUGAAGAGGCGGGAGAUAAAUUCACGACUCUGAUGCCUAAAAGAAUGGGAUAGCUAUUCUGCUGUAGCUAAGAUUGGCACAUGAUUAGUAUAUUAUGGAAUUUAGUAAUUUCUUCAUAUAUUUGGCAACACCAAGUAUAAUUUGUCUUGCAAACAGUAGUUUCUUGAUCACAUCCUUUACAUUGCAGAAUAUAGGAUGAUAUUGAAAUAUAUCAAACGAUUGCUAAACAGUUAUCUUCUAUAAGUUUCAUGUGUGUUCAUAGCGCAAUUACUAGUUAGAUAAUCCAUAUGCUUCCCCAGCAAAUCAGUCUCAGUCCAAGGCAGGGCAAGCAAGUAAAGCGCCACGGGUCUGUAGUCUAUACUUCCCCCUCGGGUGAAAUUUAACAAACCUUUUGUAAACCAACCUGCAACAAACAUAAGAUGGGAUUUUGCCAGUUGUGUUUAGUGUGUGUUGCUUUGUUGCUUUUCAAAUUUUAAAAAUUUAUGCCAUUUAUCAGUUUUUCUGCUAGAUUUUGUUAUUAUUCACUUAGCUCUGAGUUUGUGUUGACAUAUUUUCGUUGGCAAGCUCUGAAUUUGAAGCUUAUGUUUUGCAGUGGUUGGUCUACAAGGGACUUGAUUGAUGGCUCUUAACAGAGAAAUAUUCACAUGUUUCUUGGUUUCCUAGUUUAAUAUUAAAAAAAUAUUUAUAAUCUAAAUACCACACACAACUCGAUUGUAUCUGAGGAUGUCGUGUUAGAUACGAGUUUUACUCUCUAGUAUAGCAAGUUCCAAAAGCAAUCUGAAAUUCGAAAACUAUUAAACAAAAUGAAUAAAAAUAAAAAAAUAUUAGAUAUUUCAAAAUUGCUCACAAAGUUUUUUUAAAUUUGAAUUGAUCAUCUAUGAUUAAUAAUAAUAAGAUUCUGUAUGCAUAUAAUCAUCCUGAUCUAUGACGUGAUGAGUUUCAUUUGAGGGAAAAAUUUAAAACAUAAUUUGAAUACAUAAUUUUACUCCCCGUUCGAUAUGAAUGCUGAUACAGCAAUUGCUGUCGCAAGUGAAAUGGUUGAAGAGCUGGAUCUGACUGAUCAAGAUGUAAAAUUCAUUCCUAUAUUCCGGAAUUGGCACCUGGGGAUCUUUUUAGCGAUCAUGUUCAUACUGAUGGGGAUAUCUCUGAUAAUUUUGUCUCUGAAAGUCAGGGUGAUACUUCUCCCACAACAAAGGGAUCAGCAGCUUGUCCUGGCAGUCUUGUUCUGGAACGGAAUGGGCUCCCCACUUAGACUGGGACUUUCAAUCGUGUCCAACGAGGAGCCUUCAAGUAGAUGGUUGGACUGAUGUCGAUGAACAAUCACCAGUUAGCUGUCAGUCUGGGGUUGAUAUAAAAGAUGAUGUUUCAUCAGAAAAGCAGGAUGGUGGUGAGCUUGACAAUAUCAUGAAAAAUCAAGAAUGUCACUCAGCUUAUCAUUCACAUAGUCCUCCUGAUUCACCCUCUGACAAUAGAGCUCAUGUGCUGUUGGAAAACCAAUCACUCAAUGACAUUAAUUUAGGUGAUGAUAAGUUGAUCGCAGAAAGACGCGAGUGCCUCUUACUUGAGCAACAAAGAGAGCUGGAUGAACUUAAGAAGAAGCACAAACAGAUUGCUUCAGAUCUUCUAAAAGAGCUUCCUCUGGAAACUCAUAAAAGAAUUGUAAGCGCCUGUGAUGUAGAGAUCCCUGCCUAUACGUCUCACAGUGGUGAGGAUGUUAGGGGUUGUUCCACAUCGGUUGUGGGAGGGGCGGAAAGCUAGAAUAUAAGCAGCCAGAACAACUCUAAUAGUACGAGGCCUUUUGGGAGGUGCUCAAAAACAAAAGCCGUGCGGGCUAGGCCCAGAGCGGACAAUAUCGUACUAUUGUGGAGUUUGGCUCGCUUAGCUGGCCCAACAAGUUGUGGGAGGAGCGGAAAGCUAGAAUAUAAGCAGUCUUAUUCUUCCUAGUAUUGGAGUACUAACAUCCAUGCGUAUAUUAUGGCGCUUCUGAGGCGAGGUAUUGGUCACAUUUAUGGAUACUGGCUAUAAGAAUUUCAUAUCUAUGGAAACUUGUAUAUAUAGUACAUGCAGCAUGUCAGGCCCGAGUUAAUUUGUACUGGCAUAUGUAUGUUGAGGAAACUUUAUUAUUAAUGAAACUUGACAUAUACAAGUCAUUCCUGUGCGUUGAAACUUUUAUGCAACAUAAAUUUUUGUUGGAGAAAAGGAUGUCACUUGCUUUCUGGUGUUAGUUUCUGCAUUUCUUCUGUAGUAUGCGGUUAUCUGUUUUUGUUUUUAAGCUUUCUAACUCAUCUUCAUGCUCUUAACAUAAUUACUGACACUGAAUUUCUGCAUCCAUCUUCUUUGCAUCAUAUCGAAACUUCCCUCUGGGCAACAUAUAUAUCUCGAUCUAGAUUAGAGUUUAUGCUAAAUUGACAUGAAUUUUCCUUUCGGUAUAUUGAUAUAAUGACAUAUCUACUUGAAAAUCACAAAUGUAGUGCAAACCUUAGAUAAUAUACAAGUAUUAGAUCAGUGAGGUGGAAAACUAGAAUAUAUUACAGUUUCUUUUAUCUGAUUUUCAACACAUUUAUGUAUGCUUUCUGAUCUGAGGUCCUUUAAGGUUCAGCUAGCAAGUAUGAGAAGCCAAAAUAUCUGUUUUUUAUUUGUAUUUGUUUAGAUUGUAACUUUGUAGCUGCUAAUAUGUUCCAUUGCAUGUGUGAGGGAAAGUUCGUAGACGAGAGCUCGUAUCAUGUAUGAAGGCUAACAAUUAACUCUUGGAGAUAUUUCACAAGUAAGUAUACCAAAUUAUUUGAUGAGCAAUGUUAAUUAUGAUAGCUGGAUAGCUGCUAUGCUUGGUUUACUAGCAACUAGCUUACAUGAUCACAUUAGUAAUUCAUAUCAUCAUUUUUUCGUUAUGUUUAAAUCUUUACUAAAUUGAGAAGAUAUUCCGGUUCCCAAAGCCCAACGAGCGGAUGAUCUUACUAUGAUAGUUUAAGACUUCAAGCUACACACACACACACCAACUUUGGAGCUCUCUAUCUUUCUGCACUGUCCUCUCUUCCCACUGUAAAGCAAUACAAAGGGAGUAAGAAGAAAAAAUCGACUCGUUUUUGCUUUCUUUAAAGCUGUAGCUCUCACCAAAUCCCUUUUGUUCAAUGACUUUUACAAUCUGGUGAUUUCUACGUGACCAGUGAAUUGUUGUCUAUUUAUCAGACUUAUGUUGGUGAGUUUAACAACUGUAUCUAAUGAUUCUAAGGCACACUACAUAGAAAGACUUUUUAUAUAUUCUAAUAUCAAACAAGAAUUUAUCAAACACUCUUCAUAAGACAUUACAUUCUCAUCAAACAUCGACACUAAGCUGCUCUCAGGCUACAACUUCAUAUCAAAACCUUGAAACAUAGUCAAUAUUUCUCGGCCAAAAAUGAAUGUGGUGAGUGCUACAUAUCUGAUCACAAAUACCAACUCGACAACCCUGUAUACGACAACUAGCAAACCAGAACUGAAAAAAUACGAGUCAAUCUCCUUAGCAACUACUAGGAACAAAACUCUAUAACUAUACUAGAGACCAAAUUAGCUAAUUUAGUACUCGGACCAGGUGCUCUUGAUUCCCCUUCCUUGUCUGUCAAUCACGCGUGCAUCAGGGUUCUCGCUGUCUGCCAAGAACCCUGUUGCAGUUCCUUCAAGAAUCAGCCAUGACCAUCUUCACUGAUUACCAUCUGCAUGAGACUGAAACUGCGAAUGAGCCUAAACCAGUAGCCCUCGUCUCGAAAGGACUCGGAAAAUUGAGGCUGCAGCAUAUGCUGGAGCUGGUGAUCUGCAACCAAGUCCAUAUGCAGAAUGCAAAGCAAUAGGGUGGUGCAUGUGUUUAUAAAAGUGGGAUGAAAUGGGGUUUCUAUAUAUGUGCACUAGUGCAGAAAUGUCAGUAUAUAUACGGAGUGCAGAGACGGAAGAGCUAAGCUAAAACCUAAUCUUGUAUAUUCCCGCAUGCAAAUGUAUCACUUUAAUGUACAGUGUCACCACUAGUACAUGAUAGUGAAAGAAGCAGCUAAAGAAUAAGUGAGCACUUUCACAAUUAAUCAUCUAUAUGUCUUGGUCUUCUCCAGAAAUUACAAAAUAAUAUGUUCUUGCUUUGAAUUAAUAUUUAAGCUUGCAUGUACAAAAUGGUCCCGAUUAUAAACGAACACGAUCCUGACUUCAACCCAACAGAAUUUAUUAUCCCGAUUAUAAAUGAACGUGAUUUACGUCAAAAAUCUUCACAGUUUUAGAGCCUUAUCUUGAAAUCAUUUGAAAUCAUUUUAUAUGAAUUUGAAAAUAUGUAACUAUAAAAAUAUAUGUCUGAAAUCUGAUUUUAAUUAAGUGUCUCGAGAACCAGAGAUCGGUCUUGUGUAUUUAUUAUUAUAAUCCUGAUUGCUGGAUGAAUUUUAACUGUUGACCCCGUAUAGUGUUUUCUAAGCACGAGACGUGUUCCCGUCUAGAGGUUAAAAAACGAUAAUGUACUAGAAAAAAUGUUAUAAUCUUAGCCGGAUAUUCAUAUAGCGGUCCAGAAUUUAUAAAUUAUUUAACUGACAAUCAUUUAUCCAUAUAUUAAUUAAUUCAAACUCUAGCUUGAAGAUUCUAAAUUAGUAUCCGAUUUGAAAUCUGAAAUCCGGAAAAUACGUAAGAUGGAAUACGAACUGGGAUUGAUAUCUUAGAUGGGGCAGUGUUGCUAUAUUGUCCUGUUUGCGGUGCCUGAAAGUUGAGCUUCUUUAUUAAAGCGAGGCAGCAUGGUGUCCUUUGCAUAUAUUUAAGGGGACCCUUUAAUCUUUUAACUUUUGUUUGUUUGAAAAUGUUUGCCCUUGUGUUUUCUUUUUUGAGCCGGUUGCUUCAAACUUCAAAAGCCUUCCUAUAUAUUGUCCCUUUUUUACCCCCCAUAAAAAAAGGGUGUCUUUUUUGUCAACCUUAACAUGUUUAAUCGUUUCUUCGUGAUAUCGACGUUUAUGUUAAUUUGCUUUCCCUCCUAGUAACUCUUUCAUCUAGUAUAGAUGAGAAUGUGUACGAUAUUUAAGUUUAUCUUCUUAGACUCUUACAAAAUCAAAUUUUUUCAUAAUAGCAUCAGAUUUCAACGAUCUUAAUUAAAAAUGAUUGUUGAGAAAUGUAUUAAACAACGAUUAUGUAAAAAAAGUUGAGUUCAGACGAUAUUGGUUAUAAAAAUUGACUAUAUUUUAAAAAUGUUAUGUUAUUAUUAUUUUUAGUUAUUGUAAAAAUAACGUAUUUUUUUUGGACAGUUGAUGUAUGUAAUCUUGUAAAAGUCUAUCAAGUUUACCAAUUAGAGUGUUUUUCUCUUAAAUAUUAUUUAUUUUUAACAUAAAACACCUGAAUUUUUUGCUGAAUAUUCUUAUAAAUGGAUACCCAUUCUAACAAAAAAAAAUCCCUCAAUACCAUGAGUAGAAGAGAAUCUAAGAUUAAUCAUUAGUAUCCCAUUAAACUUUUUAAGUUAUCUUUUGUCUAACAAAUCUGGAUCAAUCAUGUUUUAAGUUUCGAUUAAGUUCUUAGAUUAUUUUUAUUAUUGUGAUUAUUGUGAGUAUAUAUGUAUCUUAUUUUCAUUUCCCUCCAAAAAUAAAUAUAUAUACUAUUUUAAUAAUAAGGCACAAUAAUAAUUAUACUGCUGAAAUUGAUAUAUUAAGAUGAUCUCUUCAAACCAGUAGAAUAUUUCUUUUAUUAUAUUUAUAAGACUAGAAUAUUAUUGGACUUGUCCUAAGUCACUCAAUUUUUAAGAAAAGAUACAUAUAUACACGUAUUCCUUGAUUAAUACUCUCUCCGUCCCUAUUUAUCUGUCCACUUUGGAAGUAAAAAUUUGUCCCUAUUUAUCUGUCCAUUUAUACUUUCAAAACUAAUUUAAUGAUAGUUUUUCAAAUAUAUCUCCAUAAUUUCAAUUUUCAAGGUUUGACUUAUUUAAAACUUGGUUGACUUCAUGUUUUCAAGACAUAAAGUAGGGGUAUUGUAUUUUCAAGAUAUUAAUUAGAGGUAUUUAAUGAAAAAGUUUAUACAAUCAAUUAUUCCUUGGUAUGUGUUUUUUUUUUCCAAAAUGGACAGAUAAAAAGAUAAAAAGGGUCGGAAGGAGUAAGUCUUAACGCAAGUUAUCAUUCAUCUAUAGUGUGCAAAUUAGGUCUUAAGAUGUUUGGGCCCAUUGUAGGGUACAGAAAGUAAACAAGUAAUUGACAAUUUGGGCCAUGAAAGUAAGUUGAGGAUCGGGUAUUCUUCGCAAUCAGAGGACCAUUAGGACAAAAGGCUGCAUCAGGACCAUCAAAAAGAUCCAACGGCUGUGUUUUGUCAAAAGCAGUGAAGUGCAUGCUACGAAUGGGGUACACAAACUUUACCCCCACAACUCCCCGGAGGAUUAAUUCUGGCCUUUACUUUUUUCACCCGUUAUGAACUGACACGUGGGACCUAAAAUUUUUCACGCCUCUUUCUUCUUCGGUUCUGCUUGAUAAUGAUAAUCAAAGUAAACACUAGAAAUUUGAGGAUGAUUGUAAAUUGUAAUUUUUCUACACAAUUGACAGUCUGCAAAGUUCUUUGAGAUAUGUAAAAACAACACACAGAGGAAACAAGAAUAUACUAAUAUUAACAAUUUAGGUCGAGAAAGACUGGGACAUGAUAGAAUUAGAAGUGAAGACAAGAGACUGGGAUGAGAAGAAACUACAGAGCUCGGUAAAUACCUAAAUAGCAGAAGUGAUAAGAAUAGGCGCCAAAAAACCUAAAAAUCCCGCGAAUCUGUUGUAUAGGUUACUAGCAGGUUACCUUAGGAAUCGAUGAAUUGGAGAGCUAUCUGGACGAUUGAGCGAGAAAUUUGAGGAUGCCUCGUCCAGCAGUUUUUUAUUUGUCAUCCAGGAAGUCCAGUCCAAAUAAACAUGAUUGCUAUCAAAAAUCUUAACGAGGCCCAUUCUGAAUGAGCUCAUAAUAUCUAUCAUCCAGAUGUUAUCAAAUGAUCCCUUAAAUAAAACAACUAGAAACUUUUUUUUUU
rnacentral:lncRNA from 1 species